UUGAUAACAUCCGCCCCCCAGGUGCGGAACAUGAAACUUUCUGCCCGGGAGCUAAAACGAGGUCCCUCGAUUGUGACCAUUGCCCCUUUUGAAUGGCACCGGAGUCCUAACUUUUUAGCCGUCUCUAUGAGGACCUAGAAAACAAAGAACCACAAACUCAAAACUUACAAACAUAAGUAACAGCUGAGUUAUUUUGGGGUUUUCCCUGAUGUUCAACAUGUUCCAUUACUUAAAAUUUUUACUGUAAAUGGUCAGUACCUCAGGUCCUCAGACAGUGCCUGGAGAUCACAGAAGGGUGUUUUCUAGACCCUCACCCACUUACGUAACCCUGUUCCCCCAGCCCCUUGCACACACAGCUUACAGAUAUAAAAGCAAACUGUGAACUUUUUCUAUAUACCAGGCAUUUGUUUAUAUACUUUAAUUUCACUUAUUUCUUUACAGCUUGAAGAGACUAAGCUGGGUUGUGAACAUGGAUUUGAGUCUGAUCCCUUCCCCUCCCAGGCUGAGCGAGGGUGCCAGUCCGACUCACAUCUCCUCAAAGACAUGCUAAGAAUGGUUUCCAAGCUCCUGAUUGGUAUUUCACACAAGAGCUAAAGACUUUUCUAGAACCCUUUUUUGGUUAGAAAACAAUUUCUGGGUGGCUCAGCUAGCUAUCACUCCAUCCUCCAGGGGCUGGUGAAUCCCCUGUAUCGAGGUCAACACCUUGGUCCUUCAUCCAGAAUCAGGAGCUCUGGAUAAGCUGAAGGCAAUUGUUGGAAAAGCCCCUUCAGGACAGUAUUCAGUUUUUCUGGCUCUGGGUUGGUGGCAACAUGCCUUCCAACAGGAAUUCAAGGGUGUGGUCUCGUGACUGACAGGACAACUGCAGCGGACUGCAGCUUUUCCAUGGUUGCAAAUCUCAGACUUUGACGUUUCACGCCUACUUCAGAUGUACCAAAAUACGGGAUUUUUCACUGUAAUGUGAUGAUCACAUUCAAUAAAAAUUAAUUCCUCAAUACCAAC